UGGCGGACGGGUGAGUAACGCGUGGGCAACCUGGCCUGUACAGGGGGAUAACACUUAGGAAAUAGGUGCUAAUACCGCAUAACGGGAGAAGCCGCAUGGCGUUUUUCCUGAAAACUCCGGUGGUACAGGAUGGGCCCGCGUCUGAUUAGCCAGUUGGCAGGGUAACGGCCUACCAAAGCGACGAUCAGUAGCCGGCCUGAGAGGGCGGACGGCCACACUGGGACUGAGACACGGCCCAGACUCCUACGGGAGGCAGCAG
rnacentral:rRNA from 1 species